rnacentral:rRNA from 1 species
AGUGAACGCUGGCGGUAGGCCUAACACAUGCAAGUCGAACGGCAGCACAGUAAGAGCUUGCUCUUACGGGUGGCGAGUGGCGGACGGGUGAGGAAUACAUCGGAAUCUACUUUUUCGUGGGGGAUAACGUAGGGAAACUUACGCUAAUACCGCAUACGACCUACGGGUGAAAGCAGGGGAUCUUCGGACCUUGCGCGAUUGAAUGAGCCGAUGUCGGAUUAGCUAGUUGGCGGGGUAAAGGCCCACCAAGGCGACGAUCCGUAGCUGGUCUGAGAGGAUGAUCAGCCACACUGGAACUGAGACACGGUCCAGACUCCUACGGGAGGCAGCAGCGGGGAAUAUUGGACCAUGGGCGCAAGCCUGAUCCAGCCAUACCGCGUGGGUGAAGAAGGCCUUCGGGUUGUAAAGCCCUUUUGUUGGGAAAGAAAAGCAGCAGGUUAAUACCCCGCUGUUCUGACGGUACCCAAAGAAUAAGCACCGGCUAACUUCGUG